AGCAUAGUCUCUGUGGGAUCGAUCCUUACUCGCUCUGUACUAAUUAUUUAUAUUAGUGGUAAGAUUUUAAAUUUGGUGCACCUUAACGACACUACCACCUUUAUCUCUAGUAUCUUUACCCUGAGGUUUAUUAAUAGGUUGUUGAGGCUUUUGAAGCCCAAAAUUACUACAUAGCAACCAUUUGCAUAAUGACCAAAGUGCUUAUACAAAACACAAUAAGAAACAAUCUAUUCAAAAAUCAUACCCAAAGUCAGAAUCACCUUCACUAAUCCAAAGGCAAGGUAAAAAAUGUCACGAAACAUCAUUUUCUAUCAAAACUGUAGCAAAUGAAAGCCUAUUAAUAGAACCAAUAGCAUGGUCAACACGUAAAGUUUUCCCUAUCACAGCAACGAUUAAACAUGAUGCUUCUUUGCAAUGAAUAAAGUGAAUAGGUACAUACAGCAAAGAAACCCAAAUAGAAAUCACAAGGGACUCCUUAGAACAAUAAAUGGUAGUGGACCAUUUAAAGAUCCUCAUAGCUUUACAAUUGAUAUAUCAUGUCUGCCUAACCCAAAUUUCUGGGAUAGUCUUCCUCUAACUGAAGCUUUCUUAAAACAUGUCAGUUAUCAGGCAAGGUGCUUGAGUACUGCUUUUUAAGCCAAGGAGAAAAGAGAACUUACCCACCAGAGAUAGCUUGAAUGGUUUAGCCAUGGUCGAAACCUCAGCAACUAUAAAAUGAAUAGCAGGUUCGCCUCGAUGAAGGAUGCCCAUAUUAAAAAAUAAAGAUAGCCAAUACAACAAAGGAUUUAGAGGGCCUAGAGGCAACAUUAGGGUCAAGGAUGGACAUUGGAUUGACUGCAGAAGCAUAUAAUAACUUAGGGAUAGUAGAAGAGUAAUAGGUAGAAGGAUUUGUGCUGGUGGUCAAGCUAAGGUGGGCCCAUAAAUAGGUUGCACACUAUCAGUGUUUGUUUUGUCCCGAUCUAAGAUUUGAGAUAGAUUGUGAGCAUGCAUUUGCAAAGAGGCAGUGGCUUGUUUGUGAUUAAUGGUCAUUAAAGACAUUAUAGGCGGUUGGGCAGGAUUAAGAAAGGCCAAUCCAAUGAGGGAUGCAGCAGCUGUUGGUGAUGAGUGGCAAUGAUAGAAGGCAACAAAGUCAAUGGAAGCAACUGUUGGUGAUGAGACGCAUGCCACUGACUAGGGUUUGGCGCACGCGUGUGUGAAAGAGACACGAUCAGUGGGAUUUGGUAAGGGUGAUGGCUAUGAGGCAGUUGUAGGGUGCCAUGGAAGGGAUUAAAUCAUCACUACGGAUGGUGGGGGGGGGGGGCGACGACAUGAGAAGGAAAGCGAGCAAUGUUUGGCAACAUUGCAAGGCCAAAAGCGGCCACCAAAAGGAGUUGUGUGUGGUGAAAGGCCUUCCGGCUAGUUGCAUGGUGGCCGGUGGUGAGGGGUGGUGCUGACAGUGUCUUGUCGCCACCAUCGGCAGCCGGUGAGGCCAUACCAGCGACAAGAAAGUAAAAGGAGUGUGGCGGCUAUAUGAAUUGGGGUUUCAUCGUUUUAUCUUUUUUUUUAUUAAAUUAUCUGGUAUUUGAUGAGCAUAUAAUAUAUACAUAUUUUUACGCUUAAUUAUAUGAUUGUUAAUUAUUUUUAUAUGUUAUUUUUAAUUAAUUAAAUUAUUUUGUUGAAUAAGAAAUUAAUUGAAAGACAAGAAAACCAAAAGCGGAAGUCAAUUUCUUCAAAUAAUGAAUGGUGGACAUGCAUUUAGAAAACAAAGCUUUGGUGAUGGCAAUUGCACAUGCAUGGCUUUACAAUUUUGGAAAGGAAUUUAAAGGAACCCUUGAGCUUCCAAUUUAAAAAAAAACGGGAAACAAACUUAUGGCUUAUGGCGUUGACAAGUAAUGGUGGCAUUAAUUGGGAAAAUUGACUUUACAUUGGAAAUUGGAUCCAGCCAACAAAGUGUACAAGAUUUGGCCAAUAAUUGCAUGGUCCUGGGCAUUAUAUGAUGGUAAGCUAGAAACUAAAAAAAGGACGCAAGGAGAGACACGAGACAAAGCGAAGAGAAGGGUUGCAGCAAUUUAAUUUUUCAUGGUUGGUUUUAUUUAUUUAGUUGUUCUCAAUUCAAGUAUAUUUAAUUAAUUUUCUUAUAUUAAGGUUAAGGGUGAAAUCUUAUUCAAUGAAAUAAUCAUCUUUAUAUUUAAUUAAUUCCCCACAUAUGUGCUUUAAUGCUUAUAGUUUUUGUUUCACAUGAUUAGUUAGAUGUUAUUAAAUUCUUUUAACCAAUUGUAUCAUGUAUUAUUGAUUGUUAGGAUUAAUAUUUGACUAAAUCUAUGCUUAGAUCUAUAAAGUUUAUAUAUAAUUAUCUUUGAUUCUCUGUCUUUCAUUAAAUUAUUUACAUAGAGUGCUUAGGAAGAUUUUGACUCUUUGUUAUUUAUUACGUUUACAUAGGAUGCUUAGAUAUCAUACUAUUAAGCAGAAAAAGAACUUACAUAAGAUUAAUUUUAAUUGGUCUUAAUUGUUAUAUUCAUGAGAUGACAUAUAUUGAUUUCGAGUUGUCACUCUAAAAUUGAGGAUUAAUUAACAAUUAGAUAAUUACUAGUUGAAUGGUGGUGGAUUCUAAAACCUUGGUAAUUUUUUUCUUAUUGGAUUCUCCUUUGCUUUAAUUGUUUUCUUAUUUUAAUUAGUUUUAUUUCUCUUAAAAACUCAAUUUGCUCAACUAGGUUAUGAUUAAUAAAUUUUAGAUUUAAAUUAGACUUUUCAAUUUAUAACAAUCCCUGUGGGUUCGAUCUCGUUAUCACUAUUAUAUUUCUAGAUUUGUGCACUUGCGAGUAUAUUAAAAUUUUUCACAAUAAAUUUUUGGCGCUGUUGCUGGGGAUUGUGCUAGAAAGUCUGUUUAAUUUAGGUUGAUUUGAUUAUUCCACUAGUUAUAAUUUAGGUUGACUUUUAUUUUUAUUAAAAAAACACAAAAAAGAAUUUAAAAUUUUACUUUGAAUUCAUUGUUUGGUUGUUUGAUUUCUUUUAUUUUAAAUUUCGUUUAUUUUUCACGGUUAUUGGUUAAUUUUUUUCUUUGUCUAGUUAGUUUAUGAGUGUUUGGGAAUGCGAUUCAACAAAUCGUUUGGUAAAAAAAGAGUCUAGAAUUGAGAGUAAUCAAGCUAGUUCUUCUCAAGUGAUGGAUGUCCCAAAUAGAAUAUUGCCAGUACUACCACCAGUGCAAGCAAAGAAAACCCUUAGAGAAUAUUUUUCACCACUUGCAACCAACCAACCAUCUUGUAUUGUGCUGCCACAAACGACAACAGCACACUUUGAACUCAAGCCCUUUGUCAUUCAGCUUUUACCACUUUCCAUGGGUUAGAGAGAGAGGAUCCAUAUUUGCACAUUAAGGAAUUUCUUGACAUAUGCUCUACAUUUCGUUUUCAAAAUUUUAAUGAUGAGUCAAUUAGGCUUCGUAUGUUCUCUUUCUCAUUAAAAGACAAAGCAAAAGCUUGGUUGAAAUUACUUCCUACUAGGUCUAUUACUACGUGGGAUGAAUUGAUUAAUAAGUUCCUUACCAAGUUUUUCCCUAGGUCUAAAACAAAUACCCUUAGGUGAGAGAUAAGUGAGUUUUAUCAAAGAGUUGGUGAACAAUUUUACGAGUGUUGGGAAAGAUUUAAUGAUUUACUCUUUAAGUGUCCCCACCAUAGUUUUGAGAAAUGAAAACUUAUACAAUGCUUUUAUAAUGGUUCAAGUAUGUCAAAUUAUCAUAUGGUAGAGUUUAUGAAUGGUGGGAGAUUUUUAAACUUACAUGAAGAGGCUGCAUGAGAUUUCUUUAAUUCACUUUAUGAGAAUUCUCAAUAGUGGGAUUAUUCAAAUCAAAGAGAAAAAUCAUCUUAAGUUUCACAAAAGAGUCUUUAUUAAGUUAAUGAUGAUUUUGAUGUGAAAGCUACUCUAACUACUCUUUCUAGGAAAAUAAAUGCCUUAGCUAUGAACCAAUCCAUGAGUCAUCACCCUAGUGUAGCUAAUGAGAUUUGUGCUCUUCGUUCCAACCUAUCUCAUACAAUACAAAAUUGUCCAUCAUUACUAGCCUAUCAAGAGGCUUAUUCUGAGCAGGUACAUGCCUUACAAUCAUAUUAGAAAACCUCUAAUAGUCCAUAUUCACUUACAUAUAAUUCUAAUUGGAGGAAUCACCCUAAUUUUUGUUGGAAAGAAAAUCAACUUUUAUCAAACUAAGGAGGGCAACAAUUUAGCAUGCCCAAUCAACAAUUUUUCCCUCCUAACCAAGUAUAUUCUCUUGCCCAACAACCUAUGUCUCAAUUUAUUGCAACCCAACAAACAAAACAUUCUUUAGAGAAACAUUUCAAAAUUUCAUUCAGUCUACCCAACAAGCCUUUCAGUCAAACACUCAAGUUAUUCUAAAGCUUCAACAUUAAUUGGGUCAAUUAGUAACGAUUGUAGUUGAGAGAGAAAAAGGAAAAUUCUCAAGUCAACCAAUUCCUAAUCCUAACGAAGUGCAUAAAGUUGGAUCGAGUUCAAGCCAUCAGCAUGAAGAAACAAAAUCUAUUAUGACCUUGAGAAGAUGAAAAUUAUUUGACAAUAAGGUGGAGGUUCGAACAAGAAAAAUAUUAGAACCUACUUCUGCAAAUCCAGUUCCAUCACAAGACACAUCAUCGGAUGAUCCAGAAGAAAGUAGCCCACCAACUUACAUUCCUAAUGCUCAUUUUCCUCAAAGGUUAGCAAAGAUAAAUAAAGGGACUUCAACAAGUGAGAUUAUCAAAAUCUUCAAGCAGGUUAGUAUAAAUAUUCAUUUACUUAAUACUAUUAAGCAAGUCCCUUCAUAUGCCAGGUUUUUGAAGAAUUUAUGCACUAAAAAGAGAAAUUUGCAUGUCACCGAAAAGACAUUUUUCACUGAACAAACUAACAAUUUACUUCAAUGUAAAAUGCCACCAAAAUUUAAGGAUCUGGGUUCCCCUACUAUCUCAUAUGUUAUAGGGAACCAAUUUUUUGAUAAAGCACUAUUGGAUUUAGGAACUAGUGUGAAUCUCUUGCCUUAUUUUGUUUACAUGCAACUUUGACUAGGUGAAUUAAAGUCAAUUUCCAUUAUUUUACAACUUGCUGAUAGGUUAAUGAAAAUAACUCGUAAUAUUAUAAAGGAUGUGUUGAUACAGAUUGACAAAUUUUAUUAUCUACAGCUGAUGAUAGUGUAAUUGCAGAAGUCAAUGCCUUACUCGAUGCAACUCCAAUUAUGGACACAACUGAAUGGAAGAUAAAGCCAAAACCACUGUCUCAUUUGAGAAGAAGAUUAGCCCAUCUGUGGAGACAGCACCAAAAUUGGAGCUUAAAGCAUUGCCCGACACUCUAUAGUAUACAUUUUUUGGAGAAUUUAACACCCUACCUAUUAUUAUUUCUUUUUCCCUUGAUCUUGAGAAAAAAAAAGUAAGUUGUUGGGUAUUCUAAAAGAGCAUAAGGAGGCAAUAGGACAGACCAUUGCUGAUAUUAAAGGUAUUAAUCCAGUAGAUUGCAUGCUUCGUAUUUAUCUUAAAGAAAAGGGAAAUUAUCAUUUGUAUACCCUUAGUUUACUCCAUUAUAAGAAAUACUACAACACUUUGAGGGUGUAUCAAUCGUCCACCCUAAGUUGACAAAAUAUAUCAGCUGACCACCAAACCGUUAGUUGCCGUUUAAGUAUGAUGACGUCAGAAGGGUAAUUUGGUCUUUUCAUAUGAUACAAGUGAUAAUUUAAGGGCAUACAAGUGAUAAAAAGAGAAUUUAAGGGCAUACAAGUGAUAAUUUUCAAGGGUAAAAUCGUCAAUUCACUGUAACUCUGUUAACUUUCAAACGACAACUAACAGUUUGGUGGUCGGCUAAUACAUUUUGUCAACUAAGGGUGGACGAUUGAUACACCCUCAAAGUGUUGUAGUAUUUUUGAUAACAGAGCAAAUGUAGGGUAUAUGAAUGAUAAUUUUCCUAAAGAAAAUGCUAAGCCUAUUAAGGAGAUGCAACGUAGGCUAAAUCCUAACAUGAAAGAAGUGGUAAGAGCUAAAGUAAUUAAAUUAUUAGAUACAAGAAUUAUUUAUCCUAUUUCAGGUAGCUCUUGGGUUAGCCCUGUGCAAAUUGUUCUUAAGAAAUCUGUUGUUACGGUAGUUAGUAAUGCUAAUAAUGAAUUAAUUCCCACUAGAGUAAUUACAAGUUGGCGUGUUUGCAUUGAUUAUAGAAAAUUGAACUCAAUCCUAAGAAAAGAUCAUUUUUCUUUUUCAUUUAUUGAUCAAAUGCUUGAUAGACUGACAGGUCAUGACUUUUAUUGUUUUCUAGAUGGAUAUUCAGGUUAUAAUCUAUAGCUCUAGAGGACUAGGAGAAAACUACUUUUACUUGUCUUUUGGAACUUUUGCAUAUAGGAGAAUGUCAUUUGGUUUAUGCAAUGCACAUGUUACCUUUUAAAUAUGCAUGCUUAGUAUUUUUUCUGACAUGGUUGAGAGAUUUCUUGAUGUUUUUAUGGAUGAUUUUUCUAUUUAUGAAGAUUCUUUUGAUGAAUGUUGGCAGCAUCUAACAUUAUUUUUGUAGAGAUGUAAAGAAAAGAGCUUGGUUUUAAAUUAGAAAAAGUAUCACUUCAUGAUAAAAUAAGGUAUUGUUCUUGGUUAUAUAAUUUCCAGUAGAGGUAUAGAAGUUGAUAGAGUCAAGGUAGAUUUAAUUUCUAAUCUUCACCUCCUAAAUCCGUAAAAGAAGUAAGAUAUUUCUUUGAACAUGUUGGUUUUUAUAGAAGAUUUAUUAAAGAUUUUAGUAAAAUUUUUAGACCCUUAUGCAAUUUACUUAUUAAGGAUGCACCUUUUAUUUUUUAUGAUUCUUGUCUUGAUGCUUUUAAAAAAACUUAAGAAAUUGUUGACUUCUUCACCUAUUAUUCAGCGACCUAAUUGAGAUUUGCCUUUUGAAAUUUUGCGUGAUGCAUCUGAUUAUACUGUAAGAGCAGUUUUAGGACAAAAAUUAGAUCGUGUGCCUUAUUUCAAUUAUUAUGCUAGUAUGACACUCAAUGAUGCACAAUUGAACUAUUUAAUUAUAGAAAAAGAAAUGCUAACUGUGGUGUUUGCUCUAGAUAAAUUUAGAUAUUAUCUUAUAGGUUAUAAAAUGAUUAUUUUUACUGAUCUUGCUACUUUGAAAUAUUUGCUCACUAAGAAAGAUGCUAAGGCAAGAUUGGUUUGUUGAGUGUUACUUUCAAAGGAAUUUGAUAUUAAAUUUAGAGAUAAAAAAGGUUCUGAAAAUGCUGUGGUAGAUCAUUUAUCUCGCCUUGAUCUUCAAUUUAUCUCAGAAUCCUUUCCUUUGAAUGAGGGUUUCCUAGAUGAACAACUUAUGAGUGUAAAUAUUGUACCAUUGUUUGCUAAUAUAGUUAAUUACCUUACUACUAGUCAAAUCCCAGAACACUGGACCAAGUAAGAUAGAACAAAGUUCUUAUUCGAAGUGAAGAAUUUCUUUUACGAUGAUCCUUAUUUAUUAAAUAUUGUGCUGAUUAGAUUAUUAGGAGAUGUGUUCCAGAGAAUAAAAUUCAAAGUGUCAUCUCUCUUACGAUGAACAAGCUUGUAAAGACCAUUUUGGUGCUAAAAAGAGAGCAAUAAAAAUUUUAUAGUGUGGUUUUUAUUGCCCUACUCUUUUUCACGACGCUUAUGUUUUUUGUUCUUUAUGUGACAGGUGCCAACGCAUGAGUAGCAUUUCAAAGAGGAAUAUGAUGCCACUCAAUCUUAUUCUAGUAGUUGAGAUUUUUGAUGUGUGGGGUAUUGAUAUUAUAGAACAUUUUCCUCCGUCUUUUGAUUAUCAGUAUAUAUUGGUUGCAGUUGAUUAUGUGUCGAAGUGGGUUGAAGUUGUUCCAUGCAAAACCAAUGAUCAUAGGGUUGUAGUGAAGUUCGUAUAGAGUAAUAUCUUAUCUCAUUUUGGUUUCCCUAGAACAAUCAUUAGUGAUGGUAGUACCAUUUUUUGCAAUAAAUCUUUCAAAACUCUUUUGGACAAAUAUUUCAUUACACACAAGGUUGCCACCCCAUACCAUCUUCAAACCAGUGGCCAAAUAAAAAUUUCUAAUCGAGAGAUCAAGCAAAUUUUGGAAAAAACAGUUAGGCCAAAUAGAAAUGAUUGGUCUUUGAGACUUGAUGAUGCAUUAUAGGCAUAGAAGACUACGUUCAAAACACCAUUUGGGAUGUCACCUUAUUGACUUGUGUAUGGAAAAGCAUGUUAUCUACCAAUAGAACUGAAGCUUCGUGCAUAUUGGGCUAUCAAGAAAUUCAUUUUUGACAUGCAACAGGCUGGUUCCAAGAGAAGAUUACAACUAGCAGAACUUGAAGAGAUCAAGAAUAAUGCUUAUGAGAAUGCUAAGAUUUACAAACAUCGAAUGAAAGUCUUUCAUGACAAGUACAUUUUGAGAAACUCCUUUGCAUUAGGUCAGAAAGUGCUUUUAUACAAUUCUCAAUCUCUUUCCAGGUAAGUUACGUUCUCGAUGGUUUGGUCUUUUUAUAGUCCCUUACGGAGCAGUUGAGAUUGAAAAUCCUAAAAAUAGUGAUUUAUUUAAAGUCAAUAGUCAAAGAUUAAAAUUAUUUUUAGAGUUAAAAACACUAGAAGUUGAGGAGUCACUUUUAGAUGACCAUGUUUACCAGGAUUAAUUAAUCCCAUCUUUACGUUCUUGUUUUAUUUAAAUAGUAGGUUUUCUUUUCUAGUAUUUUUCUUUUCUAAUGUUUUCUUUUUAUUUCUCAUUUUGUUUUAAGCUUCCCCAACCUAUUUAUGUGUGAUCUCUCCAACUUUUUCUUUUAUUAUUUAUGUUUAAUCUUUUCCAUUUUUGCAUGCGUAUCUUUUAUUUAUUAAAAAAUGAGGACAAUGUUCCGAAUAAGUUUGGUAGUGGGAAUAGUGUGUGCCUUUUUUAUUUAAAAAAUUAAAAAAAAAUUGUUUGUUUUUAUGUGAAAAGCCAAUGAUAAGAACUUGACUGACAAUGAAUAUGAUUCUUAGAAAUGGUUGAAUAUUGUCUUAGUUUGUAGGUUCUUGUGUUAAUUCCUCUUAAUUGAGAUUCUUUAAACUCUAUGCUCACUAAUAUUAAUUCUUUCUUAAUUUUAACUAAUAUGAGAUUGAAACAGCCUGAGUUGAAAAUUUUAUUUAGAGUAAAUGACUGUUUGUCUUGAUUUUUAUCUUCACAAUACAAAAUAGUAUACACAGACACCAAAGUAAAAUAUAGCUACCUUGAGAGUGAAGCUGUCAUUGACUAAUUUGGGCCCAUGUGCCACCAAUUUAUAGAGGAUAAUCUACCAUGAGAAGAAGAUUACCUUAAGGGAUAGAGUGAAAAUUUCUAACUAUGGUUAAAAAAAAGAAAAAGAAAAAAACUCAAGUGCAUAUGCUGAAAUGAAAAAAAAAAUCAAAAGAAAAUGCAUAUAGAAGUCUGUGAAAAAAAAAAAUUUUAAAACAAUUUUAAAAGCCUUUUUAAUUUUUGUUUUUAAAAAAAAAAAAAAGCCUUCAAAAAAUUUUUAAAAAUUUUUUUUUUUUUUUAAAGAAUGGGGGACGUGCAUUCCUUUUUAAAGAUUCGGUGAUGGCAAUUGCACAAAAAUGGCUUUACAAUUUUGGAAAGCAAUUUAAAGGAACCCGCGAGCUUGCAAUUUAAAGGAACCCGUGAGCUUCCAAUUUAAAAAAGGGGAAACAAACUUAUGGCUUAUGGCGUUGACAAGUAAUAGUGGCAUUAAUUGGGAAAAUUGACUUUUACAUUGGAAAUUGAAUCCAAAUUGGAUCCAGCCAAUAAAGUGUACGGGAUUUGGCCAAUAAUUGCAUGGUCCUGGGCAUUAAUAAUGGCAAGCUAGAAACUAAAAAAAGGAUCCAAGGAGAGACACAAGACAGAGAAGUGAAGGGCUGCAACAAUUUAAUUUUUUCUAUGGUUGGUUUUAUUUAUUUUAUUUUGUUGUUCUCAAUUUAAAUAUAUCUAAUUAAUUUUCUUAUAUUAAGGUUAAAGAUGAAAUUUUAUUUAAUAAAAUAAUUAUUUUUAUAUUCAAUCAAUUCCUUACAUAUGUGCUUUAAUGCUAUUAUGAUUCUUGUUUCAUAUGAUUAGCUCGAUGUUAUUAAAUCCUUUCACUAAUUCUAUCAUACAUUAUUAAUUGUUAGAAUUAAUAUUUGAUUAAAUCUAUACUUGAAUCUAUAAAACUUAUAUAUGAUUAUUUUUGAUUUUGAGUUUUUCAUUAAAUUGUUUACACAAAGUGCUUAGGAAGAUUUUGACUCUUUGUUAUUCAAUAUGUUUACAUAUGAUGCUUAGAUAUCAUACUAUUAAGCAGAAAAUGAAUCUACACAAGAUUAAUUUUAAUUGGUCUUAUUAAUUUUAUUCAUGAGACGACAUAUAUUGAUUUCGAGUUGUCACUCUAAAAUUGAGGAUUAAUUAACAAUUAGAUAAUUACUAGUUGAAUAGUGGUGGAUUAUGAAACCUUGGUAAUUUUUAUUUUAUUGAAAUCUUCUUUGCUUUAAUUAUUUUCUUAUUUUAAUUAGUUUUAUUUCUCUUAAAAACUCAAUUUGCUCAACUAGGUUAGGAUUGAUAUUAAUUUUAGAUUUAAAUUAGACUUUUCAAUUUAUAACAAUCCCUGUGGGUUCGACCUCGUUAUCACUAUUGUAUUUCUAGAUUCGUGCACUUGCGACUAUAUUAACGUUUUUCACAACAGUAUUCGAAGACCACAUUGGGCUUUGACUAAUCCAUAUUUGAGCCGGGUAUGACCAUUAGGGUGGUAAAACUCUCCUAAUAAGUAUUUAACGCAACUGCAUUCACAAGUUUCGAACCGAGAAUCUUUGUUAAGAUAAAAUAUCCCCAUGCCAGCUAAUCUACGCGCUUAUUGGUUUCAUCUUUUUAUCUCUUACAGUUCUGCUAUGCAUGCUCGCCGAGGGAAUGAUUGAUUGAGACAUUCAAUUUGAUAUUUAAAAGUCUAACCAAAGAGUAUUUUGAGCUUGAGUUUUACCUUAACGAACCAUUUUCAUAGAUUCAUAAGUUUGUCCUUAUUACAUACAUAUGAAUCUUUUACUACAACGUCCAAGUUUGUUCAACCAUUUAGGUACAAUAUAAUAUGGAAAAAAUAAUAAUCUUAUUCAAAUAACCAUACACUUAAGAUUUUAUAUG
rnacentral:lncRNA from 1 species